GCUGUGAUUUAGCUCAUCGCUGCAUUGGUAACACUGACUGUAGUGGUACACAGUGAUGCUACUGCGAAUAUGAUUGGCUGUCUGUUGCUGCUCUGUUUACGUAUGAUUACAGUACGGCUGAUGUUAUGAAUACUAAAAUUACAGAAAUUAACAUGUCGAAAAUUCAGAAUGUUGCGUCAAUAUCAACCUGCAAGUGAUCCACAGUUCCUUCAAUUCCUUCUCUGUCUGCUUCAAAAGCUCCUGUGCAUCAUCCAGUUUGCGCUGAUACAACAAAUAAAUAAAACUUGUCAUAUAUCUGAGUCAGCAAAGCACACUCUCAAUGAGAGAUUCAAAAGUUCAAUGACACUGAAACCUAAGUGCAAUCACUGAAAUUAUUCUUUUGUAAGAGGCUGUAACUGUGCUUGUGGCUUCUUUUGUUUAGUGUUCACUUUUAUCAGUUCUUGCUACAUGUUCACUG